AUACGGAGGAUGCGAGCGUUAUCCGGAUUUAUUGGGUUUAAAGGGUGCGCAGGCGGGCGAUUAAGUCAGCGGUGAAAGGCUCGGGCUCAACCGGAGCAGUGCCGUUGAUACUGGGUGUCUUGAAUGCGGUCAAGGCCGGCGGAAUGUGGCGUGUAGCGGUGAAAUGCAUAGAUAUGCCACAGAACACCGAUAGCGAAGGCAGCUGGCCGGGCCUGCAUGGACGCUGAGGCACGAAAGCGUGGGGAUCGAACAGGAUUAGAUACGCUGGUAGUCCACGCUGUAAACGAUGGACACUCGUUGUCGGCGACAGACAGUCGGCGGCCAAGCGAAAGUGAUAAGUGUCCCACCUGGGGAGUACGGUCGCAAGGCUGAAACUUAAAGGAAUUGACGGGG
rnacentral:rRNA from 1 species